AAGAGGGAAGGAGUGAAUUGGUUCUUUUAAAAAUUUUCAGUUUUUUUUAGAACUUUCUUCGAAAAGUAUAAGAUAUGAGGAUGCAGAGAAAAAAUUAGGUUUGUGAAAUUGGAAAUUUUUUCAGAAAGGUGGGAAUAUGAGAGUAGAGGAAGGAAGUAAGUUUUGAAAAAUUUAAGUCAAAAAGGAAGGUAGAUGUUAAGUCCCUGACAAGUGUACCAGAUCGUUAUCAAGUAAUAUAAACGGGUAAGUCCGAGUAUCGUUUUCCCAAAGGACUCUUAGGCCUUAACUUUCAUGUAACCUAAUCGUGUAAGACUUGAGAGGAGAAUAAAAUUGGUGGUUAUAUGCAAAGAACAAAAAUAAACAUGCAAUGCAGUUGAUUCAAUUGAUUUUGAGAAACUAUGGAUGAAUGGUGUUGCUGGGGUUUACAAUUUCAUCUUAUCCACACUCAUAUAUCUACUCUUCUUAUUUACUUCACUUAUUUAUCUAAUUGCCAUGCAUACUUUCUUAUUUACCCUUAACCCAAUCCCUUGGUGAAAAGAGCCUAUUAUUAAUUACCGGCUUGCUAUCCCUAGCCUCCCCUAGUAACCAAUAAUGCAAUGUGAUCAGAAGCAAUUACAAUUGAC
rnacentral:lncRNA from 1 species